rnacentral:tRNA from 1 species
GGCCAGUUGGCGCAAUGGUAGCGUGUGGCUCUCCUAAAGCCGAGGUUGUGGGUUCGAGUCCCAUGCUGGUCG